GUGCUCUCUUCGGAAGCACAUGCACUAAAAUUGGAACAAAACAAUAAAGAGUAGCAUGGGCUCUGUAUAAGAAUGACAUGCAAAUUCGUGAAGUAUUCCAUAUUUUU
ensembl:snRNA U6 U6 spliceosomal RNA